rnacentral:rRNA from 1 species
GACGAACGCUGGCGGCGUGCUUAACACAUGUAAGUCGAACGGUGAAGCGCCUUCCUUUUUGGUGGGUGUGGAUGAGUGGCGGACGGGUGAGUAACACGUUAGUAACCUGCCCCCUUCUUCUGGAUAACGGCAUGAAAGUGUGGCUAAUACGGGAUAUUCUGGGUCUGUCGGAUGAUGGGUCUGGGACAGAUUUUGUUUCGGUGGGGGAUGGGCUCGCGGCCUAUCAGCUUGUUGGUGGGGUGAUGGCCUACCAAGGCGGUGAUGGGUAGCCGGCCUGAGAGGGUGGGCCGUAAUAGUGGGACGGAGACACGGACAAGACUCCGAGAGGAGGCAGCAGUGAGGAAUAUUGCACAAUGGGAGGAAGGAUGAUGCAGCGACGCGGCGUGAGGGAUGGAGGCCUGCGGGUUGUGAACCGCUUUCGCGAGAGAAGCAGGCCUGCCUCGUUUGUGGGUGGGUUGACGGUAGCUGGAGAAGAAGCGCCGGCUAACUACGUG